rnacentral:tRNA from 1 species
AAAGAGUAGCGUGGGCAAUUAGAAGCUUCUAACUUCCAAAAGAUAGUUCAAGUCUAUCAACUCUUUA